CUAUAUUUAUUUAAUUUAUGCUAGGCCUAAUUGGAAACUAUUUUUCAGAUAACAAUAGCAUUAGGCUACUACUGCCUAUAUCGUACCUAUAUUUUGAGUUUUCUGUGGAGAACGAAUGGCUCAAGUUAAUGAAGCUAAUGAAAUAUCAAAAACCUACCAAAAAUAAAAAUGCCAUUUAUGUCUGCCUGUCACCACAUAGAAAGCUUUCCGAAAGACACAAUUCCUUGGUGAACCUAUUGUACUGCAUCAUAAAAGCGGAAGAAGGAGGUGAAAUCAACUUGCCGACUGUUUAGCUGUGGUAAAAGCUAUCAAAUCCAUGAAUCCAGGAACCUAUUCAAUUCUCAAGAACAUCUCUGUCAUAAUGUGGUCGGACCCGUUCACCAAGGAAGGCACAUAGAAGACUGGCUUAUGAUGGCGAAAGACUUUUGAAGGCGGUUACCUUGAUUGGGAUCAUAUCUAUUAAACCUUCGAAUCCUGCACUCAAAAGUAAAUGUGAUACCAUUCAAAUGGAAUAAGAUUGAUUUGAAUUGGAAUUUGUUAUUCCUGUAUCAUAGUGCAUUUUUCUACUAGUUACCCUACGUAUUGUACAUUAUUGUAAUAAAGCACUAGCUGUUCCAUAGUAGAAGUCUUUGAAAUAAAAGGUUUCUUUUUCAAGUUA
rnacentral:misc_RNA from 1 species